GCUAAGCUCUUUUUUUUGAAAGAAAAGUCAUCAAAGGGUCUAAGAAGUUGCCAGAUCUAGAAAUAAAAGUCUCUAAUUUGGCAACACAGAUGAUAUCUUCUGCUCAACCCUAAAGGGACAAAAGUUAAUGAUUCAGGUUUUACUAUGCAAAAUAUUGAAUAAUUGUCUGGUUUUUGUUAUGUUUUUUUUGCACUGCUGUUCAAACUGGUGUAACUGUGCAUCUUAGUGGAUCUGUACUGAAGGAAAGAGUUUACAGCAUGCAGAGAGUUAGGUGCAUGCGUUCCUUUGGGAAUCUCAAAGUGAAAGAACGUUAAUCUCUUCCUGCUACACUCCCCGACUUCCACAUUACAUUCCUCGGCAAAAAAAAAACGGAAAGCUUUUUCCCCGAUCUGUCAGUGGAGUGAUGGCUAUCAGGAGUAGCCCGGGUCAGGGAAGGAGGUAAACACGGCCGUGCGAGGAGAGGAACCAAUGAUAUUAUCAAACUUCUGGCUCCAGACAGUUCCCUCGCUGCCUCUGUUUUCCUUUCUCAACCCUGAGUCAUGCUACAUUCAUGUCUGAAGGUCUGAGCACGCUGCCAAGAAUGCUUGAUCUUUAAUUAAUUAUUAGCGUUAAUUGUUCUGGUCUUUCAAUAACUAACACCUGAUACUGACCCCAUCAAUGUGUUCGUUUUAUCAGGCCACACUGUUCUGGACACUAGGGAAGGAUGUUGGAGUCCUCCUACUGAACAAGAAUUUGACAAAGCUUACAGUUGCAACUUCAAAUGGAUGGAGAGUGGGUGUGGCCUAAUAUUCUAAUGCACACAAUUGACUGAUAGGCUACAUGUUUUAGACUUCCAGAAUGCUACACAACUAAACAGCACAAGCAACAAUAAUCUGGAUUGUUCAAGACCGGCCUUUUCUCAGUAGGUUAGAUUUUGACCUUUUAGGUCAAGCUAGUUUAUAAGCUGUUAAUUCAGCUUUUGCUUGCUAGGUUAGCUCUUAGCCGUUACAUCAGAUUUUGCUUGCUAGGUUAGCUCUUAGCCGUUACAUCAGAUUUUGCUUGCUAGGUUAGCUCUUAGCCGUUACAUCGGCUUUUGCUUGCUAGGUUAGCUCUUAGCCGUUACAUCAGCUUUCUCUUGCUAGGUUAGCUCUUAGCCUUUACAUCAGCUUUUGCUUGCUAGGUUAGCGCUUAGCCGUUAUAUGAGCUUUUGCUUGCUAGGUUAGCUCUUAGCCAUUACAUCAGCUUUUGCUUGCUAGGUUAACAUUGACUUGUUAGGGUAACUUUUACUACCUAGAAACAUUUAAAAUAGUUUUUCAC
ensembl:lncRNA